ACAAGGUUGUUCUAACAAGUCUGAUGCAGUCAUGACAUAACAGGAAUGUUACAAGGUUGACGACACAAGGUUGUAACAAUAUUGUUAUAUCACGACUGUAUCGGACUUGUUGGACCAACCUUGUAACAAGUCUGAUAAUAUCAACAAGGUUGUUACAAGUGUUAUGGUGCGUUAUUUAUGCGUCAAAUAUAUUUUCCAAUUAGGUAUAUUUUCAACCUUUAGGCUUCGGGUUCAAAUUAUAUUAACGCUACCGUAACACAAAUAGCAUGAAACCUUAUACCUUU